AAAUGGAUAGAUAUUUUUAAAUCCCAAUACGACUACACACCUUUCUCAAUUCCUCUUCUGCAAAUUUUGAAAUUUAUCCAUGGCUGGAACAUCAGAGACUGAUCCCAAUCUCGUCACUUCAUACCAAUUCCCGCAGGGAUGCUGCGUUAUACUAUGCGCUUGGUGUUGGAGCUUGCUCCAAAGAUGCGGUGGAUGAUAAGGAGCUCAAAUAUGUCUACCAUCACGAAUCCAUUCAGGUUUUGCCAACAUUUGCUAGUCUAUUUUCUGUUGAAUAUCUGCCAUAUUUUACACAGAUGCCGGGUUUGGCGUAAGUAAUUUUGUUGAUGUCUCUUUGCACAUUUGUUUGCCUUAUACUUUGACGGAUUGUUCAGGAAACAGAUCUUGGUUGAGUGUACUUGUUUAAAGUACUUUCUGACACCUUUCAUUUCUAGAUUUGAUCCUAGGCUCCUAUUACAUGGGCAACAGUUCAUAGAGAUAUACAAAUCUCUUCCUUCUAAUGGCUGUGUAAGGUUUUUUCUCAUCUUAUCGUAGAUCAGUAACAUGUAUUUUAGCCCUAUCUGUGCUGGCUGGAGCCUAUUAAUUCUUAUGUCUAUUUUUGAAACAGAUACUAAAUAAGGCGACAAUUUCUGGGCUGCAUGAUAAAGGUUCACUUCAAAUAUUGAACCUACCCUUCUUGAUGGGAGCUUUUUCUUAUCAUUUUCCUUGUAGUUAAUGAGUCAGGCUAGAGAUGUUUGGAACUUAUAUUGAUAACUUUUGCAAUAUUGAUAGCCCCUAGACCUAGUAUUAUAAGUAUAACACAGUAUCUACCUUUUGAGGUACACAUUAAUGAAGCAUAACUUUUCCUCUUUAUCAAAAUCUAACCUUUCUGGAAAUCCCCAUUUUGUAGGAACUGCCAUGUAGUAUAUUAGAUUUUGUCGAAAAAUUUUUCACAUUAACCCUCUCUUGUAUUAAAAAAUUUCAGGCUAUAGUAUGGUUUUGCGUUGCUUAUGAUAUUAACAUUUCUUUGCACAUGGUUGACUGCACCUUAAGGGAAAAAUCAUAUUGGAUUACCUUUCAGGCAAGUCGGCAAUUGUCGAGGUUGAAAUUUCAAGUUACGAAAAAGAGUCUGGCGUAUUACUGUGUGCAACGGUCCUCCUUUACAGACUUUCUGGUGAUUACGACCCACUGCACUCUGAUCCUAAGCAAUGUUAUCAAAUAGCGGAUAUG